rnacentral:lncRNA from 1 species
GUUGUAAUAAAACUGCAACAAUGUAGCAGCUUCAAGUCGGGAAACAAUGUAGCAGGACUAACCGAACAUUCAGCAGCAUUGUUGUAACCACGACCACUAUAGUUCCGAAAACACUGAUAAAACGGCAUUGGCAAACUGAUAUGGUUAAAAACAUGGCAUGGUGAAAAUGGUAGUUGCACAAACAUAUCAAUUUAUUAAUGUUGUGCUUUGGAAUAUUCUGUAGCUUGAAGAGGUUAGGCUAAAUGCAUAGGCUACACUCUGCACAGACAUAGGCCUCCUGCUUCGACUUUAGCGAAGCAUACAGUAAAUCUCGGGCUAGGCUGGAUACUUGUUGUUUUCAUUUCUCCCUUUUCACCGGCCGGCCGGCAAACUGGAGCGACACACCCCCACAAUCUGCACAGAAAAAAAGUGAGUGACACAUUCCAAACUACCCAUUGGCUUCUGGUUUGCGAUGGCAGCGGACCAAUAGCAGUGAAUUGAAGGCGGUGCCUUGUGAAUCUCGCCUGGCUGCACGCGCAGGGGAGUGGGGGCGUGGCAUUUUUUUGAGGAAAAAAAGCUAAACAAUCUUUAAUAUUUCAAAUUGACUGUGUCGGCUUUUUAAGUUGUCUCGGCUGGUGGAGAAGUCCAUACCUUAGAAUAGUGGUAACACACGGGGAUCCACUCAAGACAGGCCUGAAUGUAUUUUCUUCCAAAUUUCUGGACGAAAAGGUAUAGAAAGCGGGUAAUCUUUCUUUAGUCACCACUCCGGUCCGACGAUGAAUUCUAAACGUUUGCUUGACAUGUCUCCGGCUGAAACACUGGUCGGGGGCGCUUCGAAACAAGCCGGUAUUGACCAGCAUGCAGAGGGUUCCAAGGGAAGCGAAAUGAGUGUCACCACUACUGACAGUGGUGUCAUUCUGGCGUGCGGGAGCGGGCCCGCAUCAGGAGCAGUUUUCUGCACAUUCGUGCUAGACGAUGGCACUUUGAGAGAAUGUACAAACCAGGACAUCAUCCUCAAUGGGAAUGACCUGUCGUCAGGGAAAGAAAAAUACGCGCACCGGAAAAUAAUGCGGUAAAGAGGUCAAUGGAACGCAGACCAUGGGGGGAUAGAAGAAGGAUGCUGGAUUGGCGCACAGUCAACAAAUCUGAUCUAACAAAGAUGAUAUUCGUCAAAACCGUCACGAUUGAUGCAUUGUAACAGGCCCACAAUGUGGUUACCAAAGUCCGAUUGAAAUACAUUUGGCUGUUUUCACUGCAUAACAUUUAGAAGUAGUCCAUUUUCAGGUUUAGAAGAAGUGACUGGACUGCUAAAUGCUAACUCCCAUUCGUAUAUCUGGUAGCAUAGCUAGCAUAGAGAAAUCGGUGGUGGUAGUCAAAGUCAUUUGUAAUGAAGUUGAUUGGUGAUGACAUGAACAUGUAUUGGAUGACAUGAACAUGCUGACAUUCAUACAGCAUAUACCGAUUUUUACCCCACCAUAUUGUGAAAUUGUGCAAAUGAUCUUUCCUCUCUACCCAGUGGCAAAAUGUGUAGAAUUCUAGGAAAUUAGCUUUAAAACUUAACAUUUUUAUCUCUGCCCCAUGUCAAAAUGUGUUGAAAUGCAGAAAGUUAGCUGUUUUCCCAAAAAUAUAUUUCUUGGGUGGUUGGGGGCCUUCGACUUAUUAUCUCUUCCCCAUAUCAAAAUGUGUCAAAAUGCAGAACGUUAGCUGUUUCCCAAAAAUAUAUUUCUUGGGUGGUUGGGGGCCUUCCACUUAUACUGUGUUUUACCCCUCCAUAUACCCCUCAAAAUGCCCCUUAAGAGAGGCAUAAUAAGUCAAACUGUGUAUAAUUGCAGGAAAUGCUCAGGACCCCUCGGACAGCCCGUCUACUGUUCCCCCCCCCAUUAUCACCCCUCGGACAGCCCGUCUACUGUUCGCCACCCCCAUUAUCUACACCACAAUUUCACCCUUGCUGUGCAUUUGACAAUACAACUUAAAACUUGAAAAAUCUUUGAGUAGCAAAAAAAUUAUAUAUUAGAAAAAAUUAAUACCUCCUAUAUAUAUAGGGGCAGUACUCACUGAAUGUUGAUAUUGUGAACCUAUGUUAUGUAUUUUAACCACCUGUUUCAGGAAGUGAUGUCACUCAGUACUGCCCCUAUAUGUAGGACCUUCCACCCCCAGUUGUGAUAUGGAUGCCUGAUGAAGACCUAAGGGUCGAAACGUUGUUAUUAAUAAAAAUCACCUGGGAGUGUGAGCGGCAGUAUGCAGCAUUUUCCCUUUUAUUUUCCAUGAAUUCACCUACAACUACAGCACCUGCAAAAAGUACCUGGAUGUGCGUAUGUUUUUCAGCUUUUGUCCAUGUGUAAACAGUGCCAGGGAAACUAAACCAAAGCAUGGAUUGCUGUCAUACGUUGUCCAUAGACUGCUGAGAGGGUAAGGAAACCAAUGUGUAAUUUUGGUGUACUAUCCCUUUAACCAGGGAUCAUCAACUAGAUUCAGUCGCAGGUCAUUUUAUUUCUUGAGCGGAUGGUCAGGUGGCCGGAACAGAAUUACAAAUCAUUUGUAGACUGCAAAUUGACCACAAGAAUCCCAAACAGAUCUAAUAUUUGACUAAAGUAUAGUAAUUUAAAAUAGGGCUGUGCGAUAUAUUGAAUUUGAGUUUAUAUUUUAGCACGAUAUUCCAAAUGCCUGUAUCUCAAGAACCCAUUAAAGUUACAAUUUGAAAUGGUUAAUUUAAGGUUUAAAGUUAGGUAAGGUUUAUGGUUAGGGUAGAGGUUAAGGUUAGGGUAAGGGUUAUGGUUUUGGUAAGGGUAGGGGAUAAGAUUAGGGUAAGGGUAGGGGUUAAGGUUAGGGUAAGGGUAGGGGUUAAGGUUAGGGUAGGGGGUAAGGGUAGGGGUUAAGGUUAGGGUAAGGGUAGGGGUAAGGGCAGGGGUUAAGGUUAGGGUAAAGGUAGGGAUUAAGGUUAAGUAAGGGUAGGGAUAGGGUAGGGGUAGGGUAAGAGUAGGCGUGAAGGUUAGAGUAAGGUUCAGAAUUAAGGUUAGGGUAUGGGUUAAGGUUAGGGUAAGGGUAGGGGUAAGGGUAGGGGUUAGGUAAGGGUACUGGUUAUGUUUAAAGUUAGGGUAAGGGUAGGGUUUAAGGUAAUGGUAGGGGUUAAGGUAAGGUUAGGGGUUAAGGUUAGGGUUUAAGGUAGAGAUUAGGAUUUAGGGUAAGGUUAGGGUAAGGGUUAAGGUUAAGAUUAGGGUAAGGUUAGGGGUUAAAGUUACGGUUUAGGGUAGGGUUAGGGUUAGGGUAAGGGUAGGGGAUAAGGUAAGUGUUAAGGUUAGGGUAGAGGGUAGAGGGUAAGGUCAGGGUUAUGGUUAAGGUAAGGGUAAGGUUAGGGGUUAAAGUUACGGUUUAGGGUAGGGUUUAAGGUUAGGGUAUGGGAUAAGGUAAGGGUAAGUGUUAAGGUAAGGUUUAAGGUUAGGGUAGGGGUUAGGGUUAUGGUUAAGGUAAGGAUAGGGAUAGGGAUUAAGGUUAGGUUAAGGGUAGGAGUUAAGGUUAGGGUAGGGAUUAGGGUAGGGGUUAAGGUUAGGGUAGGGGGUAAGGGUAGGGGUUAAGGUUAGGGUAGGGUUAAGGUUAGGGUAAGGGUAGGGGUUAAGGUUAGGGUAAGGGUAGGGGGUAAGGGUAGGGGGUAAGGUUAGGGUAAGGGUAGGGGUAAAGGUUAGGGUAAGGGUAGGGGUUAAGGUUAGGGUAGUGUAGGGUUAGGUUAGGGAUCUCCCAAGGAUCCUGGAUAGCACACACCCAGCUCCUCCCUCUUCCUGCCACUCACAAGCUCCUCCCCCUCCUGCCACUCGCAACAACAAAGAUGAAAGAUAAUUUCUUCCUCUCUGACAACAAGCGGUUUCAAAUCGUUAUUUGCAUUUGAGGUUUGGUCCAACAGAAUCGGUCAUAUGGACACUGAAACACAUUUAGACAUUAUUUUACUGUAAUAGAUGGGAACCCUUUAUAUGUCUCAACUCCUCAAAUUGCACAAAGAGCAGACCCUAUUAAAACUGGAGUAUCAAGGAACAUUGAUUCUGCAAAAUUAAUGCUCAGUUUCUGUCGUGUACGGGUACUACUAGAAGCGUUUUAGCCACAGACUGUUAUGCUAGCUGUCUAGUCUGUGUUUUAUAAAUGUGCAAUGAGCAUAAAAAAAUAUUAUGUAAGGAAUUAACAACUCGUUCUCAUUCUGAUAAAUAAGGUAGGCCACUUGAUUUCAACAUCUGAACAAAGUGGACAAGCUAGCAUACUGUUGGAGAUGGUCAGAAGGGUGUGUUCAUAACAAGUCAACUGUUCUAACUUGUUAGCUAGCAAAUAGAUCCAAGUUGGCUAGACUUUAAUUAUAAAGAUUAGCUGGCUACUGACUAGCACGUGGGC